CUUACGAGGAGAACGUUGGGCUUCGGCUCAUUACAUGGCAGUGUCGGGUGCGGUCGACCGAGCAGAGUACUCAGCACGUUUACUACCACCUCGCCCAGCCAGGAAGCGUGGAGCCGUCGACGUGCUAUAUAAUGCGACCCAGGGCUCCGUUUCAAAGCAUACCUUUCUCGGCCUUUUGGCUAAGAUCAAGUGUAGUAUCUGUUCUUAUCAGUUUAAUAUCUGAUAUGUGGGCCAUGUGUCCACUUUGAUAUUAAAUUAAUUUUUUAUGGGGGAGGGUCCACUACAGUGGCUUGCUACUGGGCCCCUCACGCGUCGUCCAGGCGUUGCACUACUGCCUGGACCUGGCGCACCCCUCCCAAAUCAUAAUCAAAGAUAUGAAGGCCAACGGAAUAUCCCCGUAGGCACCAGCUUUAUUGGUGGUUAAGAUGAGUUGCUCGUCACUUGGUGUCUUAUGUUGGUACCAGCGGCGGGGUUCUCCAUCGUAUGUCUCCCGGCCGACCUCAGCUGAGUUCUGCUGAAACUUGCGUCCAUUUUUUUAUGCUUUCCGUUUUAUUUUCUCCUACACUUCCGUUGUCCUGUUCAAUGUCAAAUAGUCAGCUGGGAAAAAGAUUUAUGAAUGGCAUGUUUCAACUCUGUCUGUUACUGCAUGAUGUCUUCCCGUAUAUAUUUUACUAAUCUGUUUUAGUUAAAGGCACAACAAAAAUGUUCUGAUCCAAAUGUUAAUUUCUCAGAUGUUGACAGAAGAUGAUCCAACUCCACCUGAUCGUGCCACGAAUAUUGUAAACAAAGAUCUCUCCGUGUACUGAAGAAAAAGAGGGAGGAGAUUCAAAAGCAACACGACACCUUGUCGCAGAAAAUGAAUGCUUGGGGCGACCGGGAGAAGGCUCCGCAGAGCAAGCAAGAUGAGGAUAUGAGAAAACUUGCUGAUUUUAUUGCGGGAGCUUGAGAUCAUCGACGAAGCUGAAAGUAAACUAGAAGCAAAUAACUGAUGACGAAGCUUGACAGUAUAAGCAUCGACCUUUUUUUUUUAAGAAUUGACAUCAAUUCGCAUACAUUUGGAUGUAUAGUUCUUAUACAACUUCUCUCAUCUGUAACAUAGCCUUGUUAGAUUGGUCAGUAUAUAUCAUUUUAGGAUUCCGAAGUAACUUUCCCCCUUUGUCUCUGCUAACGCCAGUGCGCUAUUGGCAUGGCACUUGGCAUCUGAGUUUUGUGCGUCUGAGUUUUGUGCAUUUUCAUCAUUCUUCUUCUCAUUUAAUCGACCUCGCCAUAUCGUGCUUGUGGCCUUGCCCUUUGUUGUGGUUGCGGAUGGCUGGAGUGUGAACUCGCCAAUGUACAAGGGAGUGACCUCUGUUUUGAAAAUUGAUACUGAUGGGGCAUUCUGACAAUC